CACAGCGGGACAACGCGGAGAUGAUUUCCACCCAAAACCCUCUGCACCAUCUCAUAGGAAGCCUCCGACGGCGUGGUAAGAGAGAAUGUGGAUGAUCUGGGGAUGGAUCCGACUGAUGCUCUCCAGGAUGCAAUCGAAUCCUCGACUCUUCAAUGCGUUGAUCUCUCAGGUGGUUUCCGAUUGUUUGUGUGAGAUGCGUUCCUGGUGAGGCUAGCUCGAGAGAUCACCCUUUGGUAUCGAGCUUGGAGAAGCUGAAACAAUGCGUUGAUUGGAAGGAUUGAAUUAGUGAUGAGGAUUUUGACGAGAUGGCGUUGUUAUUUGAUAGGAUAUCAGAGCUGUGUGGAUUGAAUGUGGAAUGGGACAUUAAUUGCGUUAAGAAAUGGGGGAUUGGAAUUGCUCUGUUAUCUCCGUUCCAAGAUUCCGAGUGAUUGCGAGCGUGCUGUUGCUUCCGCUUUAAAGGCCAUGGGGCUACUACUUCAAGGUAAUUUCAAUUAUAUCAACGCGUGCCAUUGAAGGCAGAGCUGGAGAUCUUGCUAUUCAAGCUAUGCACAAGUUCUCUUCAGCUCAACUAAUGCAAAGGGACUCGCGUGUCACUUGAUACGAGUCCUGUAGUCAGGAACCCACUGUAUAGGGCUCUCUCAAACUAUUUUCUUACAUGUCUCUUACUAUUUUCUAUUGAUAUUAGCACUGCAUAUCUUAAGCUAUUCUUCAUUGAUGUUAGCAUUACAUGUUUCAAAACUAUUCUCCAUUGAUGUUAGCAGCAUUACAUGUCUCAAACUAUUGUGAGUUAAGAUGGUGAAGUUGAAAUA